CUACGGGAGGCAGCAGUAGGGAAUCUUAGACAAUGGGGGAAACCCUGAUCUAGCCAUGCCGCGUGAGUGAUGAAGGCCUUAGGGUUGUAAAGCUCUUUCGCUGGGGAAGAUAAUGACGGUACCCAGUAAAGAAACCCCGGCUAACUCCGUGCCAGCAGCCGCGGUAAUACGGAGGGGGUUAGCGUUGUUCGGAAUUACUGGGCGUAAAGCGCGCGUAGGCGGGCUAUUAAGUCAGGGGUGAAAUCCCGGGGCUCAACCCCGGAACUGCCUUUGAUACUGGUAGUCUUGAGUUCGAGAGAGGUGAGUGGAAUUCCGAGUGUAGAGGUGAAAUUCGUAGAUAUUCGGAGGAACAUCAGUGGCGAAGGCGACUCACUGGCUCGAUACUGACGCUGAGGUGCGAAAGUGUGGAGAGCAAACAGGAUUAGAUACCCUCGUAGUC
rnacentral:rRNA from 1 species